UCUACCACCAGAGGGGCCAGAGCUUCUGCCUCCAAAAUUUCCUCCUUCCUGGGUCCAAAAUUUGAAGACUGACUAUUGUAAAUGCCAAAUUCAUUACAGCUUCUACCACCACCAAAGUUGCUUUCAUCAGUACUAAAUCUGUUACAGCCAUCCCUGCUGUCAUCAUAGGGAAACCUAAGUUUCCUCUGUGACCAAAGUUGUCAUUCCCACCUAACCCACUUCCAUGACCACCGCCGAAGUUUCCAGAAUACUUUGACCUCUUUGGCUGGAUGAAACAUCAGCCAUCUCCUGCUUCAAUACAGCUCUCCUUACUUCACAGUCGUUGCCAUUCACAGUAUGGUAUUUUUAAAUUUUAUUUUUUUUAAGUUACUUUUUUAAAUUUAUUUAUUUUUGAGAGAGAGAGACAGAGUGCGAGUGGGGAAGGGGCAGAGAGAGAGGGAGACACAGAAUCUGAAGCAGGCUCCAGGCUCUGAGCUGUCAGCACAGAGCCCAAAGCCUCACAAAACAAAAUCAUGACCUGAGUUAACCUGAGCCUAAGUCAGAUGCUCAACCGACUGAGCCACCCAGGUGUCCCCACAGUAAGGUGUUUUUGAAUAACUAUCUUGUGUACAGAGUCAAGGUCAUCAAAUGUUAUAAAAGCACCGCCUCUCCUUUUGCCACUGCCUCAGUCAGUCAUGACCGACUCGAAUCACUUCAAUUUUCUCAUACUGUUCAAAAUAAUCUCUUCCUUAAUGCCACCAAUAAAAAAUCUUUUUCACAGUUAAGUGGGAACUGGGUCUUUGAGAAUCUUCUCUGGAGACAGUCCUCUUUGGAUCUACAACUCUUCCAUCUACCUUGUGUGGCCCUGCAUUCAUGGCUGCACCCACCUCCUCCACAGUGGCAUGCAUGACAAAGCCAAAGCCCCUGGAGCUCUUGGUGUUUGCUCUUCAUUACCACACAGUCCCCUAAGAGUUCCAUAUUGCUCAAAAUGGCUCCUCAGACUCUCCUCACUUGUUUCAAAGCUCAGACCUCCGAUGAAAAGCUUCAGCAGCUGAACAGGCUCUUUGGGAGACUCUGACUCAGACAUGAUGGCGGUGGACAGGGAGACGUUAACGGUGCUUCCUCAGUGGCUUCCAUGGGCAGAAAG
rnacentral:lncRNA from 1 species